rnacentral:rRNA from 1 species
UACGUAGGGUGCGAGCGUUGUCCGGAAUUACUGGGCGUAAAGAGCUCGUAGGUGGUUUGUCGCGUUGUUCGUGAAAUCUCACGGCUUAACUGUGAGCGUGCGGGCGAUACGGGCAGACUGGAGUACUGCAGGGGAGACUGGAAUUCCGGGUGUAGCGGUGGAAUGCGUAGAGAUCCGGAAGAACACCGGUGGCGAAGGCGGCCCGCUGGGCAGGAAGGGGUGGGUAACCACCCGGCUGACACUGAGGCGCGACAGCGUGGGGAGCAAACAGG